UUACGGGAGGCAGCAGUGGGGAAUUUUGCGCAAUGGGGGAAACCCUGACGCAGCAACGCCGCGUGAGUGAUGAAGGCUUUCGGGUCGUAAAGCUCUGUCAGAGGGGAAGAAAUGGGGCUGGCUAAUAUCCAGUCUUCUUGACGGUACCCUCAAAGGAAGCACCGGCUAACUCCGUGCCAGCAGCCGCGGUAAUACGGAGGGUGCAAGCGUUGUUCGGAUUUAUUGGGCGUAAAGCGCGUGUAGGCGGUUUCUUAAGUCUGAUGUGAAAGCCCUGGGCUCAACCCAGGAAGUGCAUUGGAUACUGGGAGACUUGAAUACGGGAGAGGGUAGUGGAAUUCCUAGUGUAGGAGUGAAAUCCGUAGAUAUUAGGAGGAACACCGGUGGCGAAGGCGGCUACCUGGACCGAUAUUGACGCUGAGACGCGAAAGCGUGGGGAGCAAACAGGAUUAGAUACCCCGGUAGC
rnacentral:rRNA from 1 species